CUACGGGGGGCUGCAGUGGGGAAUAUUGCACAAUGGAGGAAACUCUGAUGCAGCAACGCCGCGUGGAGGAUGACGCAUUUCGGUGUGUAAACUCCUUUUAUAUGGGAAGAUAAUGACGGUACCAUAUGAAUAAGCACCGGCUAACUCCGUGCCAGCAGCCGCGGUAAUACGGAGGGUGCAAGCGUUACUCGGAAUCACUGGGCGUAAAGCGCGCGCAGGCGGCCUUUUAAGUUGGAUGUGAAAGCCUACGGCUCAACCGUAGAACUGCAUCCAAAACUACUAGGCUAGAGUGUGGGAGAGGAAGAUGGAAUUAGUUGUGUAGGGGUAAAAUCCGUAGAGAUAACUAGGAAUACCAAAAGCGAAGGCAAUCUUCUGGAACAUUACUGACGCUGAGGCGCGAAAGCGUGGGGAGCAAACAGGAUUAGAUACCCUAGUAGUC
rnacentral:rRNA from 1 species